UACGUAGGGUGCAAGCGUUGUCCGGAAUUAUUGGGCGUAAAGAGCUCGUAGGCGGUUUGUCGCGUCUGCUGUGAAAUCCCAGGGCUUAACCCUGGGCCUGCAGUGGGUACGGGCAAACUAGAGUGCGGUAGGGGAGAUCGGAAUUCCUGGUGUAGCGGUGAAAUGCGCAGAUAUCAGGAGGAACACCGGUGGCGAAGGCGGAUCUCUGGGCCGUAACUGACGCUGAGUAGCGAAAGCAUGGGUAGCGAACAGG
rnacentral:rRNA from 1 species